CAGUAGCCGCGGUAAUACGUAGGGUGCGAGCGUUAAUCGGAAUUACUGGGCGUAAAGCGCACGCAGGCGGUCUGUCAAGUCAGAUGUGAAAUCCCCGGGCUUAACCUGGGAACUGCAUUUGAAACUGGCAGGCUAGAGUCUUGUAGAGGGGGGUAGAAUUCCAGGUGUAGCGGUGAAAUGCGUAGAGAUCUGGAGGAAUACCGGUGGCGAAGGCGGCCCCCUGGACAAAGACUGACGCUCAGGCGCGAAAGCGUGGGGAGCAAACAGGAUUAGAUACCCCUGUAGUCCCUGUCUCUUAUAC
rnacentral:rRNA from 1 species